CUAGCAUCCAGCCUUCUAUUUGCGGUUAUUCCCAGGGAAUCUCCUGCAUGCUGGGUGUGACCACCCACACUUGUCAUCUCUUGGAACAACAUCCCCAGGAGGCAGAUCUGCUGUUAGAGGAGAAUUCUUCUGUCCUAGCUGUGUCUCUGUGAUCUGUGGAUGAGGAUGGGAAAGGACCACUCAAUCAACUGGGGUGUACAAAAUGGAGUUUGAGAAGGUCUCAUAUCCAGGUCGUUUUGAAGCAAAGUCCAAGCAUUGUAUCACUUCAUCUGCAAAUAUUUCAAUAAGUACCCAAAAGGUAGCUGUUUAUAUGCACGAUCUCCUGCUGUGAGCGCCUUAAAG